UACGUAGGGUGCAAGCGUUGUCCGGAAUUAUUGGGCGUAAAGAGCUCGUAGGCGGUUUGUCACGUCGGGAGUGAAAACUCAGGGCUCAACCCUGAGCGUGCUUCCGAUACGGGCAGACUAGAGGUAUGCAGGGGAGAACGGAAUUCCUGGUGUAGCGGUGGAAUGCGCAGAUAUCAGGAAGAACACCCGUGGCGAAGGCGGCUCUCUGGGACGGUACUGACGCUGAGACGCGAAAGCGUGGGGAGCGAACAGG
rnacentral:rRNA from 1 species